rnacentral:misc_RNA from 1 species
GCGGAAGGAUCAUUACCGAGUGAGGGCCCUCUGGGUCCCACCUCCCCCCCCUGGUUAUUUUACCUUGUUGCUUCCGCGGGCCCGCCUUACCUGGCCGCCGGGGGGCUCAUCCCGCCGGGCCCCCGCCCGACGAACACACCCUCCAACUCUGUCUGAAGAUUGCUGACUGAUCGAAAAUAUAAAUUAUUUUUUACUUUCAACAACUGAUGUCUCGGGUCCCGAU